AUGACUGGGAAAUGCCUAAAUAUGCAAAUGUAAAAUAUGUGGGUAUAUGUAAAUGUACCAUAGGUGUAUAUAUGUACAUAUGUGUGUGCGUAUAUGUGCACAUAUGUCCCUGUAUACAUUUGUAUGUAUCUAUAGGUACCUAUAUUUCAUGAUUUAACACUAGGGGUCAGGGAUAGUUGUUUUCCUUUAGCAGGGGCUUUGUAAAUCACUUAAGAAACACUGGCCUACAGAAAACAUCUAUAUUGUUUAGCUUCAUACGUGUUUUUGAGAUCUGCUGUAGCCUAUCUCUCCAAUGUCAUCUUCUUUACCCUAUUUUUCUAUCAUUCUCCCUGAUCUUAAUUGUAUUCUGUUCAUGGAAGCAUUUCUACCUUUGUUCAUUCUUUUUCUUAUCAGAGGAACUUGGGAAAAUAAAAAUAGUCUGAUGAAUUUUGUGAUGAUAACUAAGGUGAGGCGAGCCUGCUUAAGUUCCAGAGGAUGGCAGAGCUGGUUUCCGCUGCCGUCUGCACGAAUGAGGGUUGCUAACAAGUGGUAACCAUGGAGUGUGUGAGUUUCUCCACCUUCCCUAGCCCGAACUGGCCUCACACAGAGCUGCCAGCAAGUAAUGAAGUCCCCAGACAAGUGCACCAGCUUCUGAACAAUGAAGAGUUUGACCGUAUUAAAUUAACAAGCCCCUUAUAAAAUGUCUUUGGGUGAACUCUGUCUUUGAGUUCCCAUAAACUGCACAAACAGGAGGUUCUGAGUUGUUGCAUCGGAAGCCUGCCGCUCUGUUUCCAAAUCAUCCUUUUCUUAGAUAGCUCAGGGACUGUGGUUAGGCAAAUUAAUCCUAGGAGAAGUUAAGCAAUUGUGAUCUUAGAGAAGAGAUUCUGUGCCCUCAAGGCCCUGGCAACCACACACAUCAAAAUCUCGCAUUUAAUUUAUAUCAAGCAUGGAAUUAAUAAGAGUCGGUGGUAAUAAAGUGUCAGGGCAAGAAAUGUAAAAUAUAUAUCAUAAAAUAUUUAUGUAAUAAAAAAUAAUCCCCUUCACUAAUAUAACCCACAUCUUUUCUCUUGAUAGCACCUAGUAAUGAAAGCAUUUAAAUCCCUGUAAGGGAUUACUAUACUCUAUAUGAUACAUGUAAAGAUCCAAACAUAGUCCACUUAUCAAAAGCACAAUAUCCUGAAGUAAAUGAUAGAGAGGGCAAAAUGUGCAGCUGGAUACUUCUCAAUUUCUAAUGACAAAUUCAGCAUAUAUUCAAUAAAUUGUCUUUUCCAGAACAUUUCUGAAAUUUUUAAAUGAAUGCAGUGGGCAGAAAAUUGAAAUGUAAUUGAGUGACAUCUUCUAAUCAUAUAUGCAGGGUGGAAAUGGGAAAUAUAAAUGGGAAAUAUAAACAGGAAAGUCAGCUCCAUGAUUUCUUUUUUAUCACUCAUGUUAAAUGGCUCUCUGUAUUGUUUUAGCCACCAAACAAAGCCAUCAAGGUUUUCUAUGAAGGUAAGCUGGUUUUAUCUUGGAAGGAUGAGUUAUAAAUGAUAGUAUUGUAUAUGCAAUUGUGAGUUUCCUAUCUUUCUGCUGGCAUAUUAUUUCAUUUCAAUUAAAAAAAAUCUCCUCUAGAGAAGCUGUAAUAAAAUCAACACUGAAUAAAAGGAAUGUGAUUAGAGAAUGCAGGGUUUUAAACCAUUUAAUUUCGAGAGUUUGGAGACCCUCACUUCGUGUGUGUGUGUUUUGCAGUCUCCCAUCAUGACCUGGACUAAAGGGGGCUGCUAACAGUAUUUGGCAUUCCCGAGUGAGCACCUUUGGUGACACCUUCAAAUGCUCAGUAUAUCUGUAUGAAAAACACUCUUGCUUUAUUUGCAUGAUUUUUUCCGUUGUAAGUUGUCUUAAUAGAGUUUUCUGUGAUAGGAAUAUGGAAAUAGACAUGUUAUGAUUCAAAAGCUGUCAUCUUUUGUGGUCUAAGUUUUUGUUGACUGCAUUUUCUUUCAGGAAAUUACACUUAAGCCAUCUUUCAUAAUUCCCUUGGAGUCUGUGCUGCUUGACCACAUUAUAACAAGAUGCUUUUGAUCCUUUGAUAAUUAAAUGCUCUACUGAAUGGUGAGAGAGACGGAUCUGCCUUGUAUUAAAUUCUCCUCUAAGGAGAAAGGAGGUUAAUGACACCUCCAGAUAGUAAUAGGUAGUAUUACUAUAAGAUAAUGAGCAAAUUGCCACAGGCUGGGCCUGGUAUCUUUAUACCAUGAAUAUAAAAUAGCAUUUUAUCUUUUUACCAUGAAUGAGUAAAGCACAUCAUGGUUCAAAUUUUGCUUUCAGAAGGAAUGCAGGCAUCUGUAAUUCUGUGAGCCAACUGUAUUAAGUGGUUAAUUUGUAGCUAUUAGCUCCAUUUGCCAUAUAGAUUUCACUGUAAAAAUAGUAUUCUAUGAAAGCCUAAAUUCAAGCCUAUAGACAUCUACCUGAUUGCUGGGACCAGAACUGGCACACCUUCUCAAAAGCUGCAGCCUCUUAGAGGUCCUUGGGAGGAGGACAGUGUGAUGGUCAGUUUCAUGUAUAAACUUGGCAGGUUGUAGUCUCCAGUUAUUUAGUCAAACACUAAUCUAGGUGCUGCUGUGAAUUUGUAAAUGUGGUUAACAUCUAAACUCAGUUGACUUUAAGUAAAGAAGAUUACCCUCAAUAAUAGCGGUGGGGCCGCAUCCAGUCAGUUGAAAGCUUUAAGAGCAAAAACUGGUUUCCCAGAGAAGAAAUUCUGCCUCAAGACUGUAACUUCAAGUCCUGCCUGAGUUUUCGGCCUGCCCUACAAAUUUGGACUUGUCAGCUCCCACAAUCAUCUGAAUGUCUUGAGAAACUUGCCUACAACUCAUGGCCUUCAUUUCCAUGGUUGCUGCCCACUUUGUUACCCAGUGCGAUAUGGUCUUAGUCCUACAGACACUGUUUUUGUUAACCUAACCAAUAACCUUCCUGUUGUUAAAUCUGAAGUGUACUUAGUCUUUCUUUUACUUAAUGUAGUAGUUUGAUCAAUUCACAAAUAUUGGCCCCACGCUUAUGCUACAAAUCUCUUCCUUUGUCUUCUGCAACCAGUUCUCUCUGUUUGCAUCCUGUUCAUCUGCUGGCAUUCCUUCAGGCUCCUUACGCCGACAUAGUCUGUCCUGUAUUGAACAGUGUCCUCCAAGAGGAAUGUUGAAGUCCUCAGCCCUGGUAGCUGUGAUGUGAUCUCACAUGGGAAUUGGGUCUUAGUAGAUGUAAUCGAAUUAAGAUGAGGUUAUUAGGGUGGAUCCUAAUCUGACCGGUGGUCUUACAAGAAAAGGAAAGCACCAUGUAAAGAUUCACACAGAGACAAGAUAGCCAUGUGACAACGGAGAGAGAAGUUGGAGUGAUGCAUCUUCAAAUCCAGGAACGCUAAGGAUUGAUGGCAAAUACCAGAAGCUAGAAGAGGAAGAGGCAAGGAAGGAUUCUCCUCUACAGAUUUUAGAGAGAACAUGGCCCUGACAACUGCUCGAUUUCAGACUUCUAGCCUCCAGAACUACGAGAUAAUAAAUUUUUGUUUUAUUAAGCCA